AUCCUUCUUUGCCUGCUUGCACUUACUUGCCAGAACAUCUGUUGGAAUCUACUUCUAGAGAAGACCAGGUGAAACAACUAGCCUCAAGGGACUGAGUAAUUACUAGACUAUUGGACUUCCCAUCCACAGCUGCCCAUUAGUUGGACUAUAGACUAACUUCUUCACUUGUUCGUUGAACAGGAAGAGAAGAUGUUGGAAUGGAAAGUUUUAAACAAAUACUACCUACCUGACUUUGACUCAGCGAAGAUCCCGAAACUCAAGCUACCCAAGGACCUGCAGUAUGUGGUGCAGCUGAUGGCCCCCUUCAUGAGGUGUAAGACUUGUGGACAAUGCAUCCACAAGGGGAACAAGUUCAACACACAAAAGGAAACAGUCCAGAACGAGGCAUACCUGGGCCUGCCAAUCUUCCGAUUGUACAUCAAGUGCAUGUGCUGCUUGGCCGAGAUCACCUUCAAGACAGACCAGAGAACAUGGACUACACUAUGGAGCAAGGAGCCAUGCGCAACUUCAGGCCGGGAAGCUUCUGGAGGAGGAGAAGCUUGUGCAGAAGGAGCAAGAGGAUGAGGAACUGAACAACCCCAUGAAGGCAUGUGGACUUCGAGGCCAUGCUGUGGCAACACCACCUGUUUCAGGAGCAGUGGCGACAGCAGCAGGAGGAGGAAGAAGAGCGGGAGACAGCGGCCUUGCUGGAGGAGGCUUGCCAUCAAAGGCUUCCGGAGGACUCCGACUCCAAGGAUGAGGCUCCACCUUCCCGACCACAGGCAGCUGCAAGACCUAACCCCACAGCCAUCCUCGAUGAGGUACCAAAGACCAAGAGGAAAAACGGAGACCCUGUGCAGCAGAGCACAGUUGGCAGGUUUGUUUGUGCCAGAGAAGGUAAAGACGGAGGUCAACGGGGGCUCAGAGCAGAUCCGGGUGUCCACCGCUGGUGCCCCGAGAGCAGGAAGGCGGCCAACCCUACACCCCAGACACCUGGUGCCUCCUCCCUGAACACAGCGAGGGCAGAGACAGCUAUCACUGAGGCACACCCUGGCAUCAUAGACCCAAGAAAUGAGAUGGGAUCAAGGAAGCAUCCUCAGCAAAGGCCUCAGGACCAUUUCUGCCAUGGGUCCUGGCAGGGUGUGGAGAAGCAAUGUCCCCAGGCACCCCAGGACAGACAGCCUGGUCCACUCCUUCAGUCCUUGAGUUCUGUGGAGCCUGUUGGCCGGUCCCUUCCUACCACAGAUCUGAACACUGACAUGAAACAGGGGACAGUGACAAUGGGCACCAUCUCCCAACCAUACACAAGGUCGGGGGCUCCACCUGCAUGCAAGACAGUAGUACUGUAAAAAAGAAUAGAAAAUCAAUUGAAAAACAAACAACAAAAAAGCAGAGUUACCCAUUAUGCCUUAAGCCAUGUUGGGUGCCACCUGUAGGCAUGGAUUUUUUGCAACCUACUUUUAAUAGGGUUCAACCUCUCCUCUAGCCCACCACCCAGCAAGAGGUAGUGGAAGACAAAAGUUAUUAGAAUAGGGGGAAAGUGGACUUGUUCAGCAAUAGUUCUUUAGGGACAAGCUCGAUCUUUUUUGGUAGCAGUUCAGUCCUAUAGCAAACGCCAAAUACAACUCAGCAGCUACAGUCCAGUCCUCUAGGCAGGCAGACACCUGGCAGCUGUAGAUAAAUCCUGAAGAAGCUGCCAGGCUCUUCAUCUGGCCUUAGGAGAGGCUACAGAGGUGGCAAGCUGCUGCAGGAACCUCACAAGCCGUUCUUGGGUGAGUUUCUUUCAAUGGCAGCAUUAUCACAAGCUCAGCUCAACAGCACUGUGUAAGGUGAACCAAUGCAUGCUUGUCUUUAGCGAAGAAUAGUGAGGCAAACCAAACCAAGCCAAACCAAGGUUCACUGCUUGUCUCCCACUGUCUGUGGGGGCAUAUUUAUACUCUUUCGUCAAGUGUCCUUUCAUGUGUUUGCCUUAGCAAGACAUCCUUUCACCUGUGUGCCCCAGCAAAACAUCAUUUGACAUAACUAACUUUCCAAAGAACUAGAAGAUUCCAGUUUAUGUGGGUAUGGGGUUGGGGAUUGGGAGGGGAUAGUUGGUGAGUGUCAUCAGAGUGAAAGUUUCCCCAUCUUUGAGGACUUUUACCAGUCAAACAAGAUAAAAGGGGUAGUGUUAAUAGGUCAGAACGGUACCUGGCAUAUGGUACUAUGAAGUAAGUAGUACUUAAUUUAUUUUGUCAUUAUCAUUGGUGGCAGAGCUAUCUGUCUUGUAGUAUCGUUGUGAGCAGAGUAUUAAAUGAAAUGAAGUAAUAAAGUUCUUAGCAGAUACCCUGAGACACAAGACUGAGCUGGGAUUAGUUCCUGCCCUCCUUCUGAGUGUUCCUCCCCAAUCCAGUCCACUCCAUGAAGCUUUCCCUGUUUCAUGCUCCCUGGCUCAAAACAUGGAGACAUUUUUCUUAUUUUGGGACCUCAUGGGUGAUGCAUGACUACCAUGUAUCCAGGUUGUUGUGGGAGACCUGACUUCUUCACACUGAGUUACAGGGAAGCAAGUAAGCUUGCCUAGAGGUAGCAUCCCAGACUAUAAACGGUGAAGCUGAGCUCCCUGUGCUGGUUUAGAUGAGAAUAGCCCCAUAUGCUUGUAUGGAUGAAUAUUUGGUCCCAAAUUAGUGAACUGUUUUAGGAGGAUUAGGAGGUGUCUCCUUGUUGGAGGAGGUAUGUCAAUGGGAGUAGGCUUUGGGUUUUCAAAAACCCAUGCCUAGUACUACCUGAGGAUCCAGUUAUACCACUCUCCUGGGCAUAUACCCAGAAGAUGUUCCAACUCGUAAUAUGGACACAUGCUCCGCUAUGUUCAUAGCAGCCUUAUUUAUAAUAGCCAGAAGCUGGAAAGAACCCAGAUGUCCCUCAACAGAGGAAUGGAUACAGAAACUGUGGUACAUUUACACAAUGGAGUACUACGCAGCUAUUAAAAACAAUGAAUUCAUGAAGUUCUUAGGCAAAUGGAUUGAACUAGAAAAUAUCAUCCUG
rnacentral:lncRNA from 1 species